AUCGCUUCUCAGCCUCUUUGACUAAGACUCAGGUAGUAUCUGUUCUCACCAGUUUAACAUCUGAUGUAGAUGUCCUCUAUAUGAGGACUACAUUAUUAAGCAGAUUUUGGCAUGAGGGGGCAGAAACUUGGAGCUUGUCUUCUUCCACGCAUCGACCUAGCAUUGCAGUGUCGCUGGGAACGCAAAAUUCUGU